GCAGUGGUGGUUCAGUAGUAGAAUUCUUGCCUUCCAUUUGGGAGACCCAGGUUCCAUUCCUGGCCAAGGUA
rnacentral:tRNA from 1 species